rnacentral:misc_RNA from 1 species
GAUGAAGAACGUAGCGAAAUGCGAUAAGUAAUGUGAAUUGCAGAAUUCAGUGAAUCAUCGAACCUUUGAACGCACCUUGCGCCCUUUGGCUAUUCUGAAGGGCAUGCCUGUUUGAGUAUCAUGAACACCUCAACUCUCAUGGUUUGCCAUGAUGAGCUUGGACUUUGGGGGUCUUGCUGGCCUACGGUCGGCUCCUCUCAAAUGAAUCAGCUUGCCAGUGUUUGGUGGCAUCACGGGUGUGAUAACUAUCUACGCUUGUGGUUUCCCGCCAGGUAACCUUCAGUGAUGGAGGUUCGCUGGGGCUCAUAAAUGUCCCUCCACAGUGAGGACAGCUUUUGAACGUUUGAUCUCAAAUCAGGUAGGACUACCCGCUGAACUUAAGCAUAUCAAUAAGCGGAGGA